UACAUAUGUAUGAGUAGGGUGGACAAUGUAAUCAACAGUCCCUGUCUGUGCUGUAUUCUGAUGACUCAGAGGGCAAAAGAACAUCCUGUCAUUUAAAUGAAUUGUAAACGCGGGAUAUCUCGGUAUUUGUCUCUCUUUGGAAUGUGCUGGGAAUGGUGGAGAAACAAGCAAAUGGCUUUAUGUUAAUUCUAGAGCUAAGUACCGUAUCUUAUGGUUAAGGAAG